GUGGGGAAUAUUGGACAAUGGGCGCAAGCCUGAUCCAGCCAUGCCGCGUGAGUGAUGAAGGCCCUAGGGUUGUAAAGCUCUUUCAGUGGGGACGAUAAUGACGGUACCCACAGAAGAAGCCCCGGCUAACUUCGUGCCAGCAGCCGCGGUAAUACGAAGGGGGCUAGCGUUGUUCGGAUUUACUGGGCGUAAAGCGCACGUAGGCGGAUCGUUAAGUCGAGGGUGAAAUCCUGGAGCUCAACUCCAGAACUGCCUUCGAUACUGGCGAUCUUGAGUCCGGAAGAGGUGAGUGGAACUCCUAGUGUAGAGGUGGAAUUCGUAGAUAUUAGGAAGAACACCAGUGGCGAAGGCGGCUCACUGGUCCGGUACUGACGCUGAGGUGCGAAAGCGUGGGGAGCAAACAGGAUUAGAAACCCUGGUAGUCC
rnacentral:rRNA from 1 species